UCUGGCAGUGAUGCCACACUUGCCCUCACUGAGAACUCUGUUCCAUAAUGAGCCUCUCUCUGCUGUGCUGGAGCAGCUGAGCCAGA
ensembl:snoRNA